UCAGAAAGAGCUCAAGGCUGAGCACACGGAGCCAGAAGCGCACGCGACCGCCGCUGGCAGUCGAGUAGGCGAGUUCAGAACACCGUCUCCAUCGAGGGCGACCGCCGCCGCCAACCGAUUGGCCUGAUCCUCCAUCGCCGGCCAGCGACGCAGCUACCAGGUCGGAGCCGUCCUGCAUCGCAAGCGACCGGCGGCGGCACCAGGUCGACGCUGCCACCAGCCGCCAUCAGGUCGACGCCGCCGCAACAUCGAGAGAAGCCGAGUCUGUGUAGCGUAUUGCUCUAUUCCUUGUUGAUCUGAAGUGAAUAUGGUUCUACUUUUUUAAUCGAUCUAUUCCUUGUUGAUCUGAAGAAUAUGGUUCUACUUUUUUAAUCGAUAUAUUAUGGAAAAUGAGGUAGCUGAUAGAUAUUGCAAUGCUGGUGUGUACGACAAAUGUUAUAUCCUAUCUAAUCUCCAAGUCUAUGUGUUGUGCUUAUGUGUGCUACUUAGUUGCUUGCUUCUUGUAUCAGAGUGCUUGCUUCUUGUAUUUUCAAAAAAAAUCUUCUUGUAUUUUGGAGAUUGGAAAUUUGGUCAUGUUCAGGAUCAGAUGUCGCAUGGAUUUCCUCUUGCUGCUGUUGAUUCGGAUCGUGUACAGGAAUGAUUAGCCUAACAUUGUCCAAGAAAGCGCUGGAUACAUCAUCUACAGGGGUGUCGGGAACACACAGAAAAGGCACUACGAGACUUACUUGCUGGAAUAUGAGCUAUCACACGAUGACAUGGAUGGGGAAUGCUGUUUGCUUUGUAACGGGUUUCAGUCCUUUCAGUCAUUAUGUUUAAUUUGGAUUUCAAGUUUAUCAUGAGGAACCUAACACCAUCUUUUGUUCAUUAUUCGAGUAGCGCUCCCGAAGACUGGGUGAACUGUUGUUACGCAGUGAAUGGGCUCAUUUCGGUUGUGACAGACGACAAGGGUUGGGAACUUUCAAGGUAAAACUUGUUGACCCCAUCACCCAUACCAGCUGAAGAGGUCAGGCCUGCCUUUGACUAUGAACAUGAAGGUGUUACUUUAAAUUCAUCCUCUCCAGGCCGUGGGCGUGGCAGGGCAAGAAGAAUGGAGCAGCGUGAAUCCUUUGAUUGCUAGCCUUUGGAACGGAACCGUGUAUCAAUUAUGGUCGAGUAAUUUAGUUGAAUAGUUGGUGUUAAGGAGAAAGAGCCUUAGCUCAGCUGAAGAACUUGCCAGUUCACAUAGGCCAACCGGUUUGAAUCUUGUAUUUGUAUUCACUACUGUGCUUAUAAACAAAAUGUCUAGCGGUUCCUCCCA